rnacentral:rRNA from 1 species
GAUGAACGCUGGCGGCGCGCCUAACACAUGCAAGUCGAACGAUUAAAGCACCUUCGGGUGUGUAUAAAGUGGCGCACGGCUGAGUAACACGUGGGCAACAUGCCCCUUUCAUUGGGAUAGCCACGGGAAACCGUGGAUAAUAUAGAAUACUUCGAGACUUCCGGCUGGAAGACUCGUGAAAGCUUCGGCGGGGGGGGAUGGGCCCGCGGCCUGUUAGCUUGUUGGUGGGGUAACGGCCUACCAAGGGUAUGAUGGGUAGCUGGGUUGAGAGGCCGACCAGCCAGAUUGGGACUGAGACACGGCCCAGACUCCUACGGGAGGCAGCAGUGGGGAAUCUUGCACAAUGGGCGGAAGCCUGAUGCAGCGACGCCGCGUGCGGGAUGAAGGCCUUCGGGUUGUAAACCGCUUUCAGCAGGGACGAGGCGAAAGUGACGGUACCUGCAGAAGAAGCCCCGGCUAACUACGUG